rnacentral:rRNA from 1 species
CACGUAGGGCGCGAGCGUUGUCCGGAAUCAUUGGGCGUAAAGAGCUCGUAGGCGGUCUGUUGCGUCCGCUGUGAAAACCCGGGGCUUAACCCCUGGCUUGCAGUGGAUACGGACAGACUAGAGGUAGGUAGGGGAGAAUGGAAUUCCCGGUGUAGCGGUGAAAUGCGCAGAUAUCGGGAGGAACACCGGUGGCGAAGGCGGUUCUCUGGGCCUUACCUGACGCUGAGGAGCGAAAGCGUGGGGAGCGAACAGG